rnacentral:rRNA from 1 species
UACGUAGGGUCCAAGCGUUAUCCGGAAUCACUGGGCGUAAAGCGUGCGUAGGUGGAUGUUUAAGUGUGAUGUUAAAUCGUGUGGCUCAACCAUAUCGAUGCAUCGCAUACUGGACGUCUAGAGGACAGCAGAGGCAAGUGGAAUUUGUAGUGUAGCAGUGAAAUGCGUAGAUAUUACAAGGAACACCAAUGGCGAGGGCAGCUUGCUGGGCUACUCCUGACACUGAGGUACGAAAGCGUGGGGAGCGAACAGG